GGCUCAGUAACACGUGGAUAAUCCAACCUUAUGCCCGGAAUAAUCUUGGGAAACUGAGUCUAAUACCGGAUAAUUGAUAUUUUCUGGAAUAUAUCAAACAAAGUUUUAACGUGUAAGGAUGAGUUGGCGGCUGAUUAGGUAGUUGGUGGGGUAAAGGCCCACCAAGCCAACGAUCAGUAGGGGCCAUGAAAGUGGGGGCCCCGAGAGGGUCACUGAGAAAUUGGACCCAGCCCCACGGGGUGCAGCAGGCGCGAAACCUCUUCAAUGCACGACAGUGUGAAAGGGGGAUUCUACGUGCUUAUGCAUAGCAUAGGCUUUUGCAUAGUGUAAAUAACUAUGCGAAUAAGGGUGGGAAAGACCGGUGCCAGCAGCCGCGGUAACACCGGCGCCCCAAGUGGCAAUCACAUUUAUUGGGCCUAAAGCAUCCGUAGCUGGAUAAAUAACUCUUUUGUGAAAUCUUUUUGCUUAACGAAAAGGCGUGCAGGAGAAACUGUUUAUCUAGAGACCGGGAGAGGUUAGAGGUAUUCUUAGGGGAGCGGUAAAAUGCUAUAAUCCUGGGAGGAUCACCAAUGGCAAAGGCAUCUAACCAGAACGGAUCUGACAGUGAGGGAUGAAGGCUAGGGGAGCAAAACGGAUUAGAUACCCGAGUAGUCCUAGCUGUAAACGCUGUGUGCAAGGUAUUGCAUAUUUUUUAAGAUCUGCAGUAUCGAAGAGAAGUCGUUAAGCACACCGCCUGGAGAGUACGGUCGCAAGACUGAAACUCAAAGGAAUUGACGG
rnacentral:rRNA from 1 species